rnacentral:tRNA from 1 species
GUCUUGAUAGCUUAAACUUCAAAGCACCGGCCUUGUAAACCGGAGAUGGUGAUGUUCCCCUCUAGACA